rnacentral:rRNA from 1 species
UGGAUAAGACAUGCAAGUCGAACGCUCAUAUUUUGGCAGCAAUGUCAGGAUGUGGGAGUGGCGCAAGGGUGCGUAACACGUGGGUAAUUUGCCGUGAAGAUGGGGAUAACUUGCUGAAAGGCGAGCUAAUACCGAAUGUGGUUGGGGAGGGGCAUCCUUUUUCAACUGAAGCUGGGGACCGCAAGGCCUGGCGCUUCACGAUAAGCCCGCGGCCUAUCAGCUAGUUGGUGAGGUAACGGCUCACCAAGGCUAAGACGGGUAGCUGGUCUGAGAGGACGACCAGCCACACUGGAACUGAGAGACGGUCCAGACACCUACGGGUGGCAGCAGUCGAGAAUUUUUCUCAAUGGGCGCAAGCCUGAAGGAGCGACGCCGCGUGGGGGAUGAAGGGCUUCGGUCCGUAAACCCC